CCUACUGGAGGCUGCAGUGGGGAAUAUUGGACAAUGGGGGCAACCCUGAUCCAGCCAUGCCGCGUGUGUGAAGAAGGCCCUCGGGUUGUAAAGCACUUUCAGUGAGGAAGAACGCCUGGUGGUUAAUACCCAUCAGGAAAGACAUCACUCACAGAAGAAGCACCGGCUAACUCCGUGCCAGCAGCCGCGGUAAUACGGAGGGUGCGAGCGUUAAUCGGAAUUACUGGGCGUAAAGCGCGCGUAGGUGGCUUGAUAAGCCGGUUGUGAAAGCCCCGGGCUCAACCUGGGAACGGCAUCCGGAACUGUCAAGCUAGAGUGCAGGAGAGGAAGGUAGAAUUCCCGGUGUAGCGGUGAAAUGCGUAGAGAUCGGGAGGAAUACCAGUGGCGAAGGCGGCCUUCUGGACUGACACUGACACUGAGGUGCGAAAGCGUGGGUAGCAAACAGGAUUAGAUACCCGAGUAGUC
rnacentral:rRNA from 1 species